rnacentral:rRNA from 1 species
UACGGGGGGAGCAAGCGUUGUUCGGAUUUACUGGGCGGAAAGGGCGCGUAGGCGGCCUUCUAAGUCAGACGUGAAAUCCCUCGGCUCAACCGGGGAACUGCGUCUGAGACUGGAAGGCUUGAAUCCGGGAGAGGGAUGUGGAAUUCCAGGUGUAGCGGUGAAAUGCGUAGAUAUCUGGAGGAACACCGGUGGCGAAGGCGGCAUCCUGGACCGGUAUUGACGCUGAGGCGCGAAAGCCAGGGGAGCAAACGGG